rnacentral:rRNA from 1 species
AUUGAACGCUGGCGGCAUGCUUUACACAUGCAAGUCGAACGGCAGCGCGGGCUUCGGCCUGGCGGCGAGUGGCGAACGGGUGAGUAAUGCAUCGGAACGUGCCCAGUAGUGGGGGAUAGCCCGGCGAAAGCCGGAUUAAUACCGCAUACGACCUGAGGGUGAAAGCGGGGGACCGAAAGGCCUCGCGCUAUUGGAGCGGCCGAUGUCGGAUUAGCUAGUUGGUGGGGUAAAGGCUUACCAAGGCGACGAUCCGUAGCUGGUCUGAGAGGACGACCAGCCACACUGGGACUGAGACACGGCCCAGACUCCUACGGGAGGCAGCAGUGGGGAAUUUUGGACAAUGGGGGCAACCCCGAUCCAGCCAUGCCGCGUGCGGGAAGAAGGCCUUCGGGUUGUAAACCGCUUUUGUUCGGGAAGAAAUCCUCUGGGCUAAUACCCCGGGGGAUGACGGUACCGGAAGAAUAAGCACCGGCUAACUACGUG